UACGUAGGGUGCAAGCGUUGUCCGGAAUUAUUGGGCGUAAAGAGCUCGUAGGCGGUUUGUUGCGUCGGCUGUGAAAUCCCGAGGCUCAACCUCGGGUCUGCAGUCGAUACGAGCAAACUAGAGUGUUGCAGGGGAGACUGGAAUUCCUGGUGUAGCGGUGAAAUGCGUAGAUAUCAGGAGGAACACCCGAGGCGAAGGCGGCUCUCUGGGUCGUACCUGACGCUGGAGGCGCG
rnacentral:rRNA from 1 species